AUCACUUCUUGGCCUUUUGGCUAAGAUCAAGUGCAGUAUAUGUUUUGUUGGUUUGAAAAGACUUACCCUCAUUUUGUAUAAGCUCCCAGUUUCACUACCUGGAUACUUAGCUUGUCUUAAUAUUCACAAAGCAAAUGGGAGCAGGAGAGAAGGGUCUAUGACAUCUAUUCCAAUGUUUUCUUCUUAUCUUC